CUUCAUGAUAACAGAUCCAAAAGCAAAUAUGACUUUAAUAACCAUCAUUAUUUGGACACUCACAACCUGCACCUGGAGUUCUGUGGGACAAACUCUGACUCAAUCUGAAGCUCAAACAGUUCAGCCUGAUCAGACUGUCACUAUUCACUGUAAUCAUAAACCAGCAGUGAACUGUUGGAACACAGAAAAUACCUCUCAGAGAUGUAUGUCCUGGUACCAUCAGCAGAUUCCUGGAGAAGAUCCUAAACUCCUGAUCUAUUACACAUCAGAGAGAGUUUCAGGUGUUUCUUCUAGAUUCAGUGGCAGUGAAAGUGGAAACCACAUGGAUUUUACUCUGACCAUCAGUGGAGUUCAGCCUGAAGAUUCAGGAGUUUAUUACUGUCAGAGUGGACAUAACAAGAGAGACCCAAAGAACCCAGACUGGGUGUUCACACAGUGUAAAAUCAUCAUACAAAAACCUCCUUGACUGAGACUUCAUCGCUGCUGCUUAGAGCUUCUGCAGAUGUUGAUGUUAAAGAUCAUUAUUCA